ACGGAAGGCAGCAGUGGGGAAUAUUGCACAAUGGGGGAAACCCUGAUGCAGCGACGCCGCGUGAAGGAAGAAGUAUUUCGGUAUGUAAACUUCUAUCAGCAGGGAAGAAGAAAGUGACGGUACCUGACUAAGAAGCCCCGGCUAACUACGUGCCAGCAGCCGCGGUAAUACGUAGGGGGCAAGCGUUAUCCGGAUUUACUGGGUGUAAAGGGAGCGUAGGCGGCUGAGCAAGUCAGAAGUGAAAGCCCGCGGCUUAACUGCGGGACUGCUUUUGAAACUGCCCAGCUUGAUUGCCGGAGAGGUAAGUGGAAUUCCUAGUGUAGCGGUGAAAUGCGUAGAUAUUAGGAGGAACACCAGUGGCGAAGGCGGCUUACUGGACGGUAAAUGACGCUGAGGCUCGAAAGCGUGGGGAGCAAACAGGAUUAGAUACCCUGGUA
rnacentral:rRNA from 1 species